rnacentral:rRNA from 14 species
UAGACCCGAAACCGAGUGAUCUAUCCAUGAGCAGGUUGAAAGUGCCGUAACAGGCACCGGAGGACCGAACCCACUGUCGUUGAAAAGCCAGGGGAUGACUUGUGGAUAGGGGUGAAAGGCUAAUCAAACUCGGUGAUAGCUGGUUCUCCCCGAAAGCUAUUUAGGUAGCGCCUCGGACGAACACCAUUGGGGGUAGAGCACU